ACGCUCGACACCUACGGGAGGCUGCAGUGGGGAAUAUUGCACAAUGGGGGAAACCCUGAUGCAGCAACGCCGCGUGAAGGAAGACGGUUUUCGGAUUGUAAACUUCUGUUCUUAGUGAAGAUAGUGACGGUAGCUAAGGAGCAAGCCACGGCUAACUACGUGCCAGCCAGCAGCGGUAAUCUGAGGCGGGCUGGCAAGGC
rnacentral:rRNA from 1 species